GGGCGCAUGGUUUAGUGGUAUAACACUCCCUUAGCAUGGCUGUUUAGUCAUCAGGAAUUGGGAGAGGUCUAGGGUUCGAUUCCCUAUGUGUCCA